rnacentral:rRNA from 1 species
UACGGAGGGUGCAAACGUUGCUCGGAAUCAUUGGGCGUAAAGCGCACGUAGGUGGCUUGUUAAGUCGGGUGUGAAAUCCCUGGGCUCAACCCAGGAAGUGCACUCGAAACUGGCGAGCUUGAGUACUGAAGAGGGUCGCGGAAUUCCCGGUGUAGAGGUGAAAUUCGUAGAUAUCGGGAGGAACACCAGUGGCGAAGGCGGCGACCUGGGUAGAUACUGACGCUGAGGUGCGAAAGCGUGGGGAGCAAACAGG